GUCCCCAGUGUCCCAGUGUCCCCAACACAAUGGAUGGAGACCCACCAUGACCCCAUGUCCCCAGUGUCCCCAAUGUCCCCAGUCAACAGUUGGAGACCCAACACGACCCGAUGUCCCCAGUGUCCCCAGUGUCCCCAAUGUCCCAGUGUCCCCGGUCAACAGUUGGAGAUCCAACAUGACCCUAUGUCCCCAAUGUCCCCAAAGCAAUGGACAGAGACCCACGACGACCCCAUGUCUCCAGUGUCCCCAAUGUCCCCAAAGCAACGGAUGGAGACCCAACACAACCCCAUGUCCCCAGUGUCCCCAGUGUCCCCAAUGUCCCAGUGUCCCCGGUCAACAGUUGGAGAUCCAACAUGACCCUAUGUCCCCAGUGUCCCCAACACAAUGGAUGGAGACCCACCACGACCCCAUGUCCCCAACGUCCCCAAUGUCCCCAGUCAACAGAUGGAGACCCACCACGACCCCAUGUCCCCAGUGUCCCCAAUGUCCCCAAUGCCCUCAAUGUCCCCAGUGUCCCCAAUGUCCCCAGUCAACAGUUGGAGACCCACCACGACCCCAUGUCCCCAGUGUCCCCACGCGCCCCACGGCCAAACCGCACCGGACCCACAGCGUCCACCUCCGUUUAUUGACGCCUUUCGGAGCCGCUCUCCCAUUUCCCGCUGCCCCACGGCACCGGGGUCCCAGUAUGGGAUGGCACUGGGGUCCCAGUAUCAAUUUCCCAUACAGAGCCCAGUGCCCCACAUUACUGGGAUCCCCUUGUCCCAUUUUACUGGGAUCCCAUUGUCCCAUUACUGGG
rnacentral:lncRNA from 1 species